UGCCGGAUGAUGACAAACAUUCUCAUGUUCGCAGUUGAGAGUUGGGUUGAAUAAGAACAACUCGAUGAAUUGUCUUUCUAGCCUUCACUUAGAUGUCUGACCCCAGAG
rnacentral:snoRNA from 1 species